CAGUGAGAAUCACUUAAGUCGGAAUUGGCCAACGUGAAUAUUUAGAUACACAGAACCAAUAAUAAAAAGGUUUUGAUUGACAUCGGGAAGAUUUCCCAAAAUAUGGAUUUAUUUUGAACUUAUCCUGAAUGAAGACUCCGGGCGCUUAAGACUGCUCCCUUUCUACUGCACCAACACGUCUGUCUGCCCUCAGUGUCUGGGCUGGUCUGAGGUUGGUCAUGUGAUCAGGGUUUACCAGAAGAGAGUCUUUCGUAGUGAUGUCAUCAAGAAGCUCCUCCCGGAGCACUUCCAUGCACUCCUGCAUCGCCUCGACAAAACCCUACACGACUGUGCUCAGUGUCCGAAACGCUCCAAAGAAGUCCUUCAGUUUGAGAAGAAAAUCAAGAGGUUCCUGAGGAAGAGGAGGGAGGAAGGUGUGUUCAAGGCGGUGAGAGAGUUCCCCUUCGUCCUCCGAUGGGUCGAUGAGUUGAGGGAAACUCUUCAUCAUUGUUCCUGAUGAGGGGAACUCCAGAGUCCCUGAUGAUGAAUCAUUCAAGCUAUUUAUUUUAUUAGGUUUUACAAAACAGUAUUCAAUAUUUUUUUAUUUAUUUUAUUUAAUUGUAUUAUUAGU